rnacentral:rRNA from 1 species
UACGUAGGGUGCGAGCGUUGUCCGGAAUUAUUGGGCGUAAAGAGCUUGUAGGCGGUUUGUCGCGUCUGCUGUGAAAUCUCAAGGCUCAACCUUGAGCUUGCAGUGGGUACGGGCAGACUAGAGUGUGGUAGGGGAGACUGGAAUUCCUGGUGUAGCGGUGAAUGCGCAGAUAUCAGGAGGAACACCGAUGGCGAAGGCAGGUCUCUGGGCCACUACUGACGCUGAGAAGCGAAAGCAUGGGGAGCGAACAGG